GUUAGGAAUAUUGGACAAUGGGCGAAAGCCUGAUCCAGCCAUGCCGCGUGAACGAUGAAGGCCUUCGGGUUGUAAAGUUCUUUAGCCGAUGACUAUAAUGACUGUAGUCGGAAAAUAAGCCCCGGCUAACUUCGUGCCAGCAGCCGCGGUAAUACGAAGGGGGCGAGCGUUAUUCGGAAUCACUGGGCGUAAAGCGUGCGUAGGCGGUUUUGUAAGUUAGGAGUGAAAGCCCAGGGCUCAACCUUGGAAUUGCUCUUAAAACUGCAAGGCUCGAAUCUCGGAGAGGAUAGCGGAAUUUCCAGUGUAGCAGUGAAAUGCGUAGAUAUUGGAAGGAACACCAGUGGCGUAAGCGGCUAUCUGGACGAGUAUUGACGCUGAGGCACGAAAGCGUGGGGAUCAAACAGGAUUAGAAACCCUAGUAGUCC
rnacentral:rRNA from 1 species